rnacentral:misc_RNA from 1 species
GAUGAAGAACGUAGCGAAAUGCGAUAAGUAAUGCGAAUUGCAGAAUUCAGUGAAUCAUCGAAUCUUUGAACGCACAUUGCGCCCGCCAGCAUUCUGGCGGGCAUGCCUGUUCGAGCGUCAUUUCAACCCUCAAGCCCCCCCGGGGGCCUCGGUGUUGGGGGACGGCACACCAGCCGCCCCCGAAAUGCAGUGGCGACCCCGCCGCAGCCUCCCCUGCGUAGUAGCACACACCUCGCACCGGAGCGCGGAGGCGGUCACGCCGUAAAACGCCCAACUUUCUUAGAGUUGACCUCGGAUCAGGUAGGAAUACCCGCUGAACUUAAGCAUAUCAAUAAGCGGAGGA